CGCACAUUGCGCCCUUUGGCAUUCCGAAGGGCAUGCCUGUUCGAGCGUCAUUAUCAACCCUCAAGCCUAGCUUGGUGUUGGGCGACGGUGGUCACGCACCCGCCCCAAAGAUAACGACGGCGUCUGCACGACCCCCGGUACAACGAGCUUUUAACAAGGCACGUACUGCGGUGGGCGUGGAGAUCCGGUCUUACCAUUUCUUUCUCAGGUUGACCUCGGAUCAGGUAGGGAUACCCGCUGAACUUAA
rnacentral:misc_RNA from 1 species